GAUGAACGCUGGCGGCGUGCCUAAUACAUGCAAGUCGAGCGAACGGACGAGAAGCUUGUUUCUCUGAUGUUAGCGGCGGACGGGUGAGUAACACGUGGAUAACCUACCUAUAAGACUGGGAUAACUUCGGGAAACCGGAGCUAAUACCGGAUAAUAUUUUGAACCGCAUGGUUCAAAAGUGAAAGACGGUCUUGCUGUCACUUAUAGAUGGAUCCGCGCUGCAUUAGCUAGUUGGUAAGGUAACGGGUUACCAAGGCAACGAUGCAUAGCCGACCUGAGAGGCUGAUCGGCGACACUGGAAGUGAGACGCGGUCCAGGCUCCUACGGGAGGCAGCAGAAUGGAAUCUUCCGCAGUGGGCGAAAGCCUGACGGAGCAACGCCACGUGAGCGAUGACAGUCUUCGGAUCGUAAAACUCUCUUAUUAGGGAAGAACAUAUGUGUAAGUAACUGAGCACAUCUUGACGGUACCUAAUCAGAAAGCCACGGCUAACUACGUG
rnacentral:rRNA from 1 species